rnacentral:rRNA from 1 species
UACGGAGGGUGCGAGCGUUAAUCGGAAUUACUGGGCGUAAAGCGCACGCAGGCGGUUUUUUAAGUCGGAUGUGAAAGCCCCGGGCUCAACCUGGGAACUGCAUCCGAUACUGGAAGACUAGAAUGCGGGAGAGGGAGGUAGAAUUCCAUGUGUAGCAGUGAAAUGCGCAGAUAUAUGGAGGAAUACCAGUGGCGAAGGCGGCCUCCUGGCUCGACAUUGACGCUGAGGUGCGAAAGCGUGGGGAGCAAACGGG